AGAGUUUGAUCCCGGCUCAGAAUCAACGCUGGCGGCGCGCUUAACACAUGCAAGUCGAACGAGAAAGGGGAGCAAUCCCUGAGUAAAGUGGCGUACGGGUGAGUAACACGUGGAUUAUCUACCUUUUAUGGGGAAUACCGUUGGGAAACCGACGACAAUACCGCAUAAUCCCGAGAGGGGAAAGCAGCAAUGCGCUGAAAGAGGAGUCCGCGGUCGAUUAGCUAGUUGGUAGGGUAAAAGCCUACCAAGGCUGUGAUCGAUAGCCGGCCUGAGAGGGCACACGGCCACACUGGCACUGAAACACGGGCCAGACUCCUACGGGAGGCAGCAGUGGGGAAUCUUGCACAAUGGGGGAAACCCUGAUGCAGCGACGCCGCGUGAGCGAUGAAGCCCUUCGGGGUGUAAAGCUCUUUCGGCAGGGACGAUAAUGACGGUACCUGCAGAAGCAGCUGCGGCUAACUACGUGCCAGCAGCCGCGGUAAUACGUAGGCAGCAAGCGUUGUUCGGAGUUACUGGGCGUAAAGGGUGCGUAGGCGGUCCUAUAAGUAUGGUGUGAAAUCUCCCGGCUUAACUGGGAGGGUGCGCUAUAGACUGUGGGACUAGAGUGUGGGAGAGGAAAGUGGAAUUCCUGGUGUAGCGGUGAAAUGCGUAGAUAUCAGGAGGAACACCGGCGGUGUAAACGGCUUUCUGGACCAUAACUGACGCUGAGGCACGAAAGCGUGGGUAGCAAACAGGAUUAGAUACCCUGGUAGUCCACGCCCUAAACGAUGCAUAUUUGGUGUGGGUCAUUCAGUUGAUCCGUGCCGGAGCUAACGCGUUAAAUAUGCCGCCUGGGGAGUACAGUCGCAAGGCUGAAACUCAAAGGAAUUGACGGGGGCCCGCACAAGCGGUGGAGCAUGUGGUUUAAUUCGACGCAACGCGAAGAACCUUACCUGGGCUCGAAAUGCUAUGGACCAGCUGGUGAAAGCCGGCCUUCCCGCAAGGGACCGUAGUAUAGGUGCUGCAUGGCUGUCGUCAGCUCGUGUCGUGAGAUGUUGGGUUAAGUCCCGCAACGAGCGCAACCCUUGUCCUGUGUUGCCAUACCGAAAGGUGGAACUCGCAGGAGACCGCCAGGGAUAACCUGGAGGAAGGUGGGGAUGACGUCAAGUCCUCAUGGCCUUUAUGUCCAGGGCUACACACGUGCUACAAUGGACGGUACAAAGGGCUGCCA
rnacentral:rRNA from 1 species